AAAAAAUUUUUCCAUAAACAAGCUCUAAAUCAUGUUUGAUGCACUCUGGAUGUCCAAUUUUUGCUGUGCUGUCUAUUUGAGAUGAAAUGAACAUUGUGGACAGUUUUCAGCAAGUUGCAACAUUGAAAUACAGAAAAAAAAAAAUUUCAUAAACAAGCUCUAAAUCAUGUUUGAUGCACUCUGGAUGUCCAAUUUUUUGCUGUGCUGUCUAUUUGAGAUGAAAGGAACAUUGUGGACAGUUUUCAGCAAGUUGCUACAUUGAAAUACAGAAAAAAAAAUCCAUAAACAAGCUCUAAAUCAUGUUUAAUGCACUCUGGAUGUCCAAUUUUUGCUGUGCUGUCUAUUUGAGAUGAAAUGAACAUUGUGGACAGUUUUCAGCAAGUUGCAACAUUGAAAUACAGAAAAACAAAAAAAUCCAUAUAAACAAGCUCUAAAUCAUGUUUGAUGCACUCUGGAUGUCCAAUUUUUGCUGUGCUGUCUAUUUGAGAUGAAAUGAACAUUGUGGACAGUUUUCAGCAAGUUGCAACAUUGAAAUACAGAAAAA